rnacentral:rRNA from 1 species
GAUGAACGCUGGCGGCGUGCCUAAUACAUGCAAGUCGAGCGAACGGACGAGAAGCUUGCUUCUCUGAUGUUAGCGGCGGACGGGUGAGUAACACGUGGAUAACCUACCUAUAAGACUGGGAUAACUUCGGGAAACCGGAGCUAAUACCGGAUAAUAUUUUGAACCGCAUGGUUCAAAAGUGAAAGACGGUCUUGCUGUCACUUAUAGAUGGAUCCGCGCUGCAUUAGCUAGUUGGUAAGGUAACGGCUUACCAAGGCAACGAUGCAUAGCCGACCUGAGAGGGUGAUCGGCCACACUGGAACUGAGACACGGUCCAGACUCCUACGGGAGGCAGCAGUAGGGAAUCUUCCGCAAUGGGCGAAAGCCUGACGGAGCAACGCCGCGUGAGUGAUGAAGGUCUUCGGAUCGUAAAACUCUGUUAUUAGGGAAGAACAUAUGUGUAAGUAACUGUGCACAUCUUGACGGUACCUAAUCAGAAAGCCACGGCUAACUACGUGCCAGCAGCCGCGGUAAUACGUAGGUGGCAAGCGUUAUCCGGAAUUAUUGGGCGUAAAGCGCGCGUAGGCGGUUUUUUAAGUCUGAUGUGAAAGCCCACGGCUCAACCGUGGAGGGUCAUUGGAAACUGGAAAACUUGAGUGCAGAAGAGGAAAGUGGAGUUCCAUGUGUAGCGGUGAAAUGCGCAGAGAUAUGGAGGAACACCAGUGGCGAAGGCGACUUUCUGGUCUGUAACUGACGCUGAUGUGCGAAAGCGUGGGGAUCAAACAGGAUUAGAUACCCUGGUAGUCCACGCCGUAAACGAUGAGUGCUAAGUGUUAGGGGGUUUCCGCCCCUUAGUGCUGCAGCUAACGCAUUAAGCACUCCGCCUGGGGAGUACGACCGCAAGGUUGAAACUCAAAGGAAUUGACGGGGACCCGCACAAGCGGUGGAGCAUGUGGUUUAAUUCGAAGCAACGCGAAGAACCUUACCAAAUCUUGACAUCCUUUGACAACUCUAGAGAUAGAGCCUUCCCCUUCGGGGGACAAAGUGACAGGUGGUGCAUGGUUGUCGUCAGCUCGUGUCGUGAGAUGUUGGGUUAAGUCCCGCAACGAGCGCAACCCUUAAGCUUAGUUGCCAUCAUUAAGUUGGGCACUCUAAGUUGACUGCCGGUGACAAACCGGAGGAAGGUGGGGAUGACGUCNAAUCAUCAUGCCCCUUAUGAUUUGGGCUACACACGUGCUACAAUGGACAAUACAAAGGGCAGCGAAACCGCGAGGUCAAGCAAAUCCCAUAAAGUUGUUCUCAGUUCGGAUUGUAGUCUGCAACUCGACUACAUGAAGCUUGGAUCGCUAGUAAUCGUAGAUCAGCAUGCUACGGUGAAUACGUUCCCGGGUCU